rnacentral:lncRNA from 1 species
CCCCACCCACGGCAAUCAUCUCUUUCCGCGAAGCUUCCCCCCCGACACCCCGUUUCCGGAACACGCCGCUAUCCCUGUCGUCGCGAGGAAGGUCAGAUGCUGCCGGAAACCCCGAGAGAAGAUUAGUUUAUUGCCGAGUACCUGUGAUGGAGAGACCUCUGGAUGGCCAGUAAGUCGUAAACAAUGUCCGGGCACUGCGGCCAUCUCCGACAAAGGGAACCAUCGGAGAAUCGUUGAACCUGUUGGUCGGGAGAAACGUAGUGCCGAUGAAGCUGAAGACGCCAUCGGUAUUUCUGCGC